rnacentral:rRNA from 1 species
AGUGAACGCUGGCGGUAGGCCUAACACAUGCCAGUCGAACGGCAGCACAGUAAGAGCUUGCUCUUACGGGUGGCGAGUGGCGGACGGGUGAGGAAUACAUCGAAUCUACUUUUUCGUGGGGGAUAACGUAGGGAAACUUACGCUAAUACCGCAUACUACCUACGGGUGAAAGCAGGGGAUCUUCGUACCUUUCGCGAUUGAAUGAGCCGAUGUCGGAUUAGCUAGUUGGCGGGGUAAAGGCCCACCAAGGCGACGAUCCGUAGCUGGUCUGAGAGGAUGAUAAGACACACUGGAACUGAGACAGGGUACAGACUACUACGGGAGGAAGCAGUGGGGAAUAUUGGACAAUGGGCGCAAGACUGAUCCAGCCAUACCGCGUGGGUGAAGAAGGCCUUCGGGUUGUAAAGCCCUUUUGUUGGGAAAGAAAAGCAGCAGGUUAAUACCCCGCUGUUCUGACGGUACCCAAAGAAUAAGCACCGGCUAACUUCGUG